rnacentral:rRNA from 1 species
UUGGUUAAGUUAGAAAGGGCGCACGGUGGAUGCCUUGGCACUAGGAGCCGAAGAAGGACGGGACUAACACCGAUAUGCUUUGGGGAGCUGUACGUAAGCGUUGAUCCAGAGAUUUCCGAAUGGGGGAACCCACUAUCUUUAGUCGGAUAGUAUCCUUACGUGAAUACAUAGCGUGAGGAAGGCAGACCCAGGGAACUGAAACAUCUAAGUACCUGGAGGAAGAGAAAGAAAAAUCGAUUUCCUGAGUAGCGGCGAGCGAAACGGAAAGAGCCCAAACCAAGAAGCUUGCUUCUUGGGGUUGUAGGACACUCUAUANNGCUUUCCCUCCAGAGUGGAUCCUGAGUACGGCGGAACACGUGAAAUUCCGUCGGAAUCCGGGAGGACCAUCUCCCAAGGCUAAAUACUCCCUAGUGACCGAUAGUGAACCAGUACCGUGAGGGAAAGGUGAAAAGCACCCCGGAAGGGGAGUGAAACAGUUCCUGAAACCGUGUGCCUACAAGUAGUUAGAGCCCGUUAAUGGGUGAUAGCGUGCCUUUUGUAGAAUGAACCGGCGAGUUACGAUUUGUUGCAAGGUUAAGCGGAAAAAGCGGAGCCGUAGCGAAAGCGAGUCUGAAUAGGGCGCAUAAGUAACAGGUCGUAGACCCGAAACCAGGUGAUCUACCCAUGUCCAGGAUGAAGGUAAGGUAAUACUUACUGGAGGUCCGAACCCACGCACGUUGAAAAGUGCGGGGAUGAGGUGUGGGUAGCGGAGAAAUUCCAAUCGAACUUGGAGAUAGCUGGUUCUCUCCGAAAUAGCUUUAGGGCUAGCCUCGAGGUAAAGAGUCAUGGAGGUAGAGCACUGUUUGGACUAGGGGCCCUUCUCGGGUUACCGAAUUCAGAUAAACUCCGAAUGCCAUGUACUUAUACUCGGGAGUCAGACUGCGAGUGAUAAGAUCCGUAGUCGAAAGGGAAACAGCCCAGACCACCAGUUAAGGUCCCCAAAUAUAUGUUAAGUGGAAAAGGAUGUGGGGUUGCUUAGACAACCAGGAUGUUGGCUUAGAAGCAGCCACCAUUGAAAGAGUGCGUAAUAGCUCACUGGUCGAGUGACCCCGCGCCGAAAAUGUACCGGGGCUAAACAUAUUACCGAAACUGUGGAUGAACCUCUUUAGAGGUUCGUGGUAGGAGAGCGUUCUAAGGGCGGUGAAGUCAGACCGGAAGGACUGGUGGAGCGCUUAGAAGUGAGAAUGCCGGUAUGAGUAGCGAAAGAAGGGUGAGAAUCCCUUCCACCGAAUAUCUAAGGUUUCCUGAGGAAGGCUCGUCCGCUCAGGGUUAGUCGGGACCUAAGCCGAGGCCGAUAGGCGUAGGCGAUGGACAACAGGUAGAGAUUCCUGUACCAGUGCUAAUUGUUUAACCGAUGGGGUGACACAGAAGGAUAGGGAAUCGCACGAAUGGAAAUGUGCGUCCAAGCAGUGAGUGUGAGAAGUAGGCAAAUCCGCUUCUCGCGAAGCAUGAGCUGUGAUGGGGAAGGAAAUUAAGUACGGAAGUUCCUGAUUUCACGCUGUCAAGAAAAGCCUCUAGGAAGAGUAGUACUGCCCGUACCGCAAACCGACACAGGUAGAUGAGGAGAGAAUCCUAAGGUGAGCGAGAGAACUCUCGUUAAGGAACUCGGCAAAAUGACCCCGUAACUUCGGGAGAAGGGGUGCUCUAUUAGGGUGCAAGCCCGAGAGAGCCGCAGUGAAUAGGCCCAGGCGACUGUUUAGCAAAAACACAGGUCUCUGCAAAACCGUAAGGUGACGUAUAGGGGCUGACGCCUGCCCGGUGCUGGAAGGUUAAGAGGAGUGCUUAGCUUCGGCGAAGGUACGAAUUGAAGCCCCAGUAAACGGCGGCCGUAACUAUAACGGUCCUAAGGUAGCGAAAUUCCUUGUCGGGUAAGUUCCGACCCGCACGAAAGGCGCAACGAUCUGGGCACUGUCUCAACGAGAGACUCGGUGAAAUUAUAGUACCUGUGAAGAUGCAGGUUACCCGCGACAGGACGGAAAGACCCCGUGGAGCUUUACUGCAACCUGAUAUGGAAUGUUUGUACCGCUUGUACAGGAUAGGUAGGAGCCGAAGAGACGUGUGCGCUAGCAUACGAGGAGGCAAUGGUGGGAUACUACCCUGGCUGUAUGACCAUUCUAACCCGCCACGCUUAGCGCGUGGGGAGACAGUGUCAGGUGGGCAGUUUGACUGGGGCGGUCGCCUCCUAAAGAGUAACGGAGGCGCCCAAAGGUUCCCUCAGAAUGGAUGGAAAUCAUUCGCAGAGUGUAAAGGCACAAGGGAGCUUGACUGCGAGACUGACAAGUCGAGCAGGGACGAAAGUCGGGCUUAGUGAUCCGGUGGUUCCGCAUGGAAGGGCCAUCGCUCAACGGAUAAAAGCUACCCCGGGGAUAACAGGCUUAUCUCCCCCAAGAGUCCACAUCGACGGGGAGGUUUGGCACCUCGAUGUCGGCUCGUCGCAUCCUGGGGCUGUAGUCGGUCCCAAGGGUUGGGCUGUUCGCCCAUUAAAGCGGCACGCGAGCUGGGUUCAGAACGUCGUGAGACAGUUCGGUCCCUAUCCGUCGCGGGCGCAGGAAAUUUGAGAGGAGCUGUCCUUAGUACGAGAGGACCGGGAUGGACACACCGCUGGUGUACCAGUUGUUCCGCCAGGAGCAUCGCUGGGUAGCUAUGUGUGGCAGGGAUAAACGCUGAAAGCAUCUAAGCGUGAAGCCCCCCUCAAGAUGAGAUUUCCCAUUUCUUCGGAAAGUAAGAUCCCUGAAAGAUGAUCAGGUAGAUAGGUUUGGAGUGGAAGUGUAGCGAUACAUGGAGCGGACAAAUACUAAUCGAUCGAGGACUUAACCAAAA